AGCAGUGCUGAUCGUCCACUGAUCUCUGCAUCCCAUGCUGGACCUGCCUCUGCACUCCACUCGCUCUGCUCACACUGGUGCCUAGACAAACAGGAUGGAAGGAUACCUCGUAUCUCUGACACACUAGAGCCCUUGCUGUCACACUCCCAUCCUGCAUAUCGCGCUCGCUCGUUAUCAAAGGUAGGAGCGGGGUCCAAGCCCCAACUGCACCCUGUCACCUCAACCUUGACCUCUCACCUAUUUUCACAAGUCUCUCUCUUGCUGUCUUUUUCUUUCCUCUUUUCUAUUCAGCCCCACUCCUCCCUGUGUUGUUCUAUUGCCCUACUCUGUGUGCAGGUGAAUGGUGUCACCAAUCAGACAGGGGUGGCAGGUAGCCUAGCGGUUAGAGCGUUAGAGUGUUACUGGAAGGUUGCUAGUUCUAAUCCCCCAUCCAACAAGGUGAAAAGAAAAUCUGUCGAUGUACCCUUGAGCAAGGCAAAAUCAAAGUAAUUAUCAAUGGCCUAUGAUCUACUACUUUUAGAUAACAUAAUAUAUAGGUUGUUCCAACAGCCAAGGACAAAGCUUUUGUUUUAUAGUCCAGAAGAUGCUAGUAGGUGCACUUACAAAACACCUUAAAUAAUUAUAUGAUACUGGGGGCUGAGGAAUAUAGAGAAUGCUCUCAAUUUUACACAUAAAUAAAUAUUUUAGCAAAUUGUUUUGAUUCUUGGGUCCCAGCUCAUCACAGGUACAUAGGGUCUCCUAAAGAAUAUCUGUGUCUCAAAAACCCACAUCUACCCCUUACAUUAUGGAACUCGGGGGAAUUGGAGUGUUAGAGUGAGGCAAAGAGAGAUUCAGUGGUCUAGACACUGGUGGUCUGUCCUCAACCUCUGUAAACCUGCUGUCACUCACUCAGAUGACUGAAUCACUCUCUGUGGUUUUGGCUCAUGGGAAUUCAUUUAUGCUGAUCUACGAACCCAGGUGAUGUGAUUCGUUUGGACAUGAGGAAUAUUCAAUGAUUAAAUCUGCAGUAAUGCACACAUUUAUAGGUGAAUGUCCUUGUCAAGAAGCUGUCAAUUAUAUAAUGCAUUAUGCAUUAUCUUGUAAUAUAUGAACAAAUUCAGCAGACUAUAAAUCACAGAGUUCUUCAUCAGUGUAGCUGUAUCAGGUAAAUGCCUUUGGUCCAGACUGUAUUGCUGUAGUAUCUAGGCAUAUUUUCACUGCUGUGUGCUGUGGCUUAGUGCCUUAGUACCUCAGCCUGCAGAUUUUUCUCUGGUGGUGGUGGUGGUCCUGGAGACACUGCUGCCCACUGCACCAGUCAAUCCCUCUGAUGGAAGGAUGUGUGGAGAGCAGAGCAGACCAUACCAGAGCAGCUGCUGUAGUGUAAAUGUUGUGCUCUACCACUGCUGGCCAGAGGAAGGUCAUGCAGGAGCCUGCCGCUGACGGCCACAAUGAAUGAUGGAUUUUCUCAGACAUGAUUGGAGAGGAGUGGACGGUAGGUUGGCGUGGCCAAAACAUUGGCAGGUCUCACCACAGGUAGAGGAUGGGAAAUUCAGGUAUCUGGUAUUGGAGUGGUGGGGCGAGAUGAAAGCUGUGAUGGGGGCUAUGAGUUAUAGUGGUGAUGGAAUAGACCAGGGAAUCAGGUCCAUCUUCCUCAGCCCAGUUUGUCAGGUCCCUUCCAUUAUACUAUGGGUUUGAAAUAGUCUGAAAUAGUUUGGAAUAGCUGAAAGUGUCAAGUCCUUUUAUGCAACAGCCUUAUAGUGAUCGUAGUCAUUGAUUUGUGGUCAAUAGGGUCAGUGUAAGUGCUGUCAUAACGUUGCCCUGUUGGGUGAGGUUUAUGACCAUCCCAUAAAUACCUUCCCCCCUUUUCUCUUCACUACAGAAUGGACUCUUGGAAAGCCCUGUGUUACCACAGUGAAAGUAUGGCACCAUCAAAAGGUUGGGGAAAGAACAAUAUUUCCCUUUCUCAACCAGUUGAAAAUGUCCGUUGGUACUUAAAGAAUAUGAUGUCUGAUCAGUUGUUGUCUGUCUUUAUCUGAUGAUAGGAUGACAUAAAUUGUAUCUUGGAAAGUCUACACAUUCUAGUUAUCAGAUUCACAUGGAAUUGUUGUGCAAUUUAAAUGUUUAAAUGUGAAACUAUUUGUGAAAAGAUUAAAUGUAAUUUUAGCCUCCUAAAUAAGAGAAUUGUUUCAUAGUAAAACGUAGGCCCACUCAGUGGCCAUGCCCAAGUGAACAGACAUUGGUUGAGAACUAUGAAACAUGUCCUUCUCCUCCCAGUACAAAUGCCUGUUGACGCAAGUCAAACCUUGUGACCGAUAAUGUGAGGACUGGUGUCCAUACGUUUAAAAGAGCUCAUUUCUACUACAACCAAACAAAAUUAACAUUUAGUUCCAGAAAUGUUAAGACUGCUGCCCUAAGGUUUAAAAGUGUGAAUUUCAACAUGGAGGUGACGAUCACCACACUAGAAUGGUGAAUUCCGACUAGACCAGCCAGAGUACAGCGCGAGCUGAUUAUGGCAACUUGGUAUGAUCUUUGAACGUUUAUUCACUAAAGAAGAAGUGAUACCUUCUAGACGUUGAGUUAUCAGCUGCAGCUGUAAACAUACGUGGCCUAGAAAAGGACAGACAAUCUCAGAAGAACGACAGGGUAUUUUAACUUGUCCGCUCUACAACACAACGACCAGAAAGAUUCUUCAAAGGAUAAUGGCGAUCUCUGCUGGGUAAACCAGUCUUCCAUCUUUGACCCAUUUUUCGAGGCGCAGCUCAGAGUAAAUAUAUAUAUCUUGCAUUUUCCUCUUCCGAAUGGGUGGUUAUUAGAAUGCGUAAGACUCUGUAUUUACUGUAGCAUAGCUUCUCAAGGUCCGAUAGAGAUUCAAUCCCUUUGUCCCUCAGUCUUCCCGCUCUUUUAUUCAAAUCCAACCCCUUCCUUUGUGUAACCAGCCGUCAUAUCGGGUUAGCCCGCUAGGGGCUUUUCAUGACAUGAUUAGUAAUUUAUGUGUGAUCUAUCCUGUGCAUAUAAAUAUAUAUGUAAUUCUGUGUGAUUAUUUAGGUAUUUGUAAAUAAAUAAGACAAUUUGUGUAUUGUUGAUUUAACCUAUUAGCUAGGGUUCGUGCAGAUAACCAAGUACUUACGACAAUCAGAAUGAGACGACGAUUAAUAAUUGACUGCUUUUGAUAUAAAAGAUCUUCAGAUAUUUAAGAGAGUGGAUUCGGGAGAUAACCGCUCUAUAUAAAUGAAUGCUUCCGUGGUGCCCCAGGUUAUUAAUGGUAUAAUUGUUGCAUGGUUUCAUUCAAUCACGUAAUCAAUUAAUCGAUUUCAUAAAAUAGCAUGUCAUAUAAUUUAAUCAUAGUCAGACACGACAGUGCUCGAUAAUUCAUUGAUAUCAGAUAAGCCUCAGCGACUGUCUCUCCCUCCACCCUGUAUUAUACAUAUUUCUAAGCACCUCCAAGACAUAUGAUACCUACUAAUAUUCUAGGUACUUUAGACAGAAACAAAAGUAGUGAGGUUGGUCGCGGAGGAUGUUUAGGCGUAUACUGCGACCGUCUAGCAAUCCAAAGGUUGUGCGUUUGAGUCAUGUCGGGGACAACUGUAGAAUUUUGAUUUAACCCUUCCCAUAACCCUGAUUCUAACCUUAACCCAAUUAAUCUAGGCCUUGGGCCGUGAGGCGCCUUCUGACUGAGCUCCACCAAGCUGUUUUAUGUAGGGUCUGGGAAGUGUCAUGCCACUCAAACAGACCAGAUCUGGUAAUUAAUACAUAUAAAAUAUGCUUAGCGUUAGGCCCCCAGGCCAGGGAGGCAGCAAAAGUGAUUCAGUGGGAGAGAGGCUCGUUAUUGCAUCUAUUCUAGAGCACUAACCUGGAGUGUUUAAAUUAAAGGACUCGUAAAAGGAAAUUAAGGUAACGUGUACUUGGAGUCUCAAUAUGAUGGUGGGGCUUGAGAAAGAGUGCUGUGAUCUGUUCACUAUGCUGUCUGGUUAUUACUUCUCUCUUAUUAAUUUGCCCAAAUCCCUUCUCUCUGUGAAUACAUGGUUUCCAUUUUAAGCUACAUUGUGCAGUAGACAGAUAGCGAGCUGAGAUUUGAGUUGUUUCUACUUCAUUUUAACAUUACCUAUGCAGGGUAUUUCACUUCCCAACACAUCCAGUGGAGAAUCGUAACUUCAUCUUAGGUCACAUUUUCACAUUGUGCAUGGAUGUCAAUGGUAAGCAUGGCUUUGACCACAUAGCUAGCAUGAAUCAGUCUACCCAUGUCAUUGCUUUUGUGUGUAGGCUACUUUAAAUGGUAAUACAGAUUUGUUGUCUCAGUGUGUUUCAAUAUCAAAUGUUUGCUGUAUGUCACCCGGUAGCCAUUGUUGUUUCACAACAAUGCAAACAUUUGUACACAUCUUUGCAAUAUCAACAGGAUUGACCUUCUUUAGGAUAUUGAUGCUGAACAAAGGUUUGGUUAUGUGUGUUCUCCUACAAAAUCCAACUUAGUCUGCUGCCAUUUUUGUAAAUGUACACUUCACUCAAAGCUCUUCACACAACAGAAGGUCCUUUACAGUAAAGCCUCCAUUUUAUUUAACAAAGGACAUCAAUCUGUAUUAUAAGUUUAAAGUGGCAUAAAUACAGUGCCUUAAAGUAUUCAGACCUCAUUUGGCAGCGAUUAC
rnacentral:lncRNA from 1 species